AAAACCCAAUGAACAAAAAAAAAUAUCAAUGGUUUUAUACAUAGCUAUUCCAUAACUCAAAAUAUUUAGAACAUAGAAACAUCACUAUCAAUUGUUUCCAUCACCAGAGAUACAAAUUCACAUGUCUUCGGAUACAGUUCCAUAUAAUUUACAUACAUGAAUCGAAGGUCAAUGAAAACAGAGGUGCAACAUCUAAAAACACACAAGUGCAUCAACUAAAUGUACAUAAGAAGAGACCUCAUUUUCUAUAAUCUUUGGUUACAGCUUAAGUUGCAAGCCUCUCUUCAAGGUUACCCUGCAGUGGACAUAUAAUUGAACUUGUAAAAAUAUGCAAAGUGUCAACAGUUUGCUACAAAAAGGUAACAAGAAAGAGGAACAAUAUCUAUAAGAUAUAAUAAGCAUAAUCUACUUGGUAUAUCAGUUUCUCACAAUAAUAUUCGCACAUAUACCCAACUUGUUUUUGUCCCAUCAAAGUUGCCCAGUUUUACAGCUUAUAGACUAAUAAUGGAGUAAUUUGUUAGCAUCAUAUCUCGGAUUUGAUACAAAUCAUGCAACUGGCAAAAUCUAUUUAAAUGACAACCUGAGAACAUGCUUCUGGACCAGUUUGACAUAAUUAUCAGCUAACUUCCUAAGCUCAUUUAGAGACUUCUUGCGAGAAAUCACACUACAAUGUCAAUACUCUUAAGUCCAUCCAUUUCAAAUUUUCAAGAAAAAUGGGCAGAGUCAUCAUCAUCUCCACAAGAGUAAAAAAGCCAAAACAUUAUGCAAUUAUUCGAUAAUGUAACGGCAUGGGAACUGUACAUCAUGGUGAGACAAUAAAAGACCCCAAAGAAAUGGAAAGAGGUUGAUUUCAGACUAAACUAACAUAGCAACUACUGGCUCAAUAAUGUUGAUCUCAUGAUCUUGGGCACACUGGACGUAGCAUGAUAUAUUUUAAAUAUACAAGAGAAAACUUGACUGACAAUUAUUCCUGAUAAAACUUUGGGGCUGAUGGUGAACGCAAAAGUAAAAAUACCUUGAUUAGAGGCUCUUGCAUAUCUCAUAGAUCCCGACUCUUGAAUUUUGCUCCUAAUAAGAAUGAAUUGCAAACUAGAAAAAUAAGAGCUCAAUCAGGUGUUGAUCAAUAUUUACUUUCUAGGUUCAUGUGCAUAGAAUAACAAAAUAUGAAAGGGAAUAGUGCCACUUCAGUUGGAAGAGUCUUAUUCAAUUUCUUGAAAUUGAGUGAUACCUCAACCACCUGCUUUUGCCUCUAUGUUUCACUGAUGGUGUUCGUUUAAUUCUUCCCAAAAACCUAACAUAAUGAAAGAGACUAAAAUGAGAAGGUAUGGACAAACAAGUUAGAGAGCAAACUGUUACUGUACUGGAUAGUAAGGCAAUCAAAAAAUCACAAAAAAAUACAAUGCAACACUACCAGGCAAAGGGAUGACCCCAAACAGAGGAUAGUUGUUACUUGAUGCAUUAGUAAGUUAGUACAGAGGUUCAGAACAACAAUGUAAGGAGUGACAUCCAUUCAUCUAUGCAAUGUACUGAUAAUUUUCAGAGCAAUGCAAUGUCUACUUGUCAUCGCACCCAGACACUGGCAUCCACCUUGUACAACUAAGAACUACAAUCAUCUAGUUCCAGCAAUGUAGAAAAACACUCAGCAAGAUUGCGCACCUUCUCCAGCAGGAACAACCAAUUGUAUGCUUGCCCUGCAAUUGUUCAAUCUUUAAUAUACGAAAGAAAACGAAAUACAACUUAAGGGAGAAGGAAGAACACGGUGAGCUUAAAUAUGAGGAAUACACAAGAACUGUUAAGUACUAGAUAAUAAGAGAAUAUGAAAUUCCAAGAAGCAAGUAGUAAAAGGAGUAACUAAAUUAAGAUGACAGAUAGUAUGGCCCAUGAUAGGAGCCCCUGAACAUAUCUUUGUCUUGUUAAUUGUUAAAACAGAGCGUUCAUAUCUUGAGCAUAGCUGGUGGUACUAGGCCUUUCCUGAUACAGUUUCAUUGUCAAUACUCUGAAAUAUAAUGUUUAGGUGCAUUUCAGAUGUUCUGAAGAUAGCAUGAUCUUGCAAGAUAGAAAACUUGAAUCGAAAUUAAUCAAUACAUGAAUUUGGAGACAGGUAGGGAAAUAACAGUAUGUACCAUACCAUGUCAAGGGCAGAGGAUAUUACACCUCUCUUAUAGCUGGAUCAUGAACCUUAAAUCGUACUACUGAUCUGGAUGAACUGUAACAAGGAAAAGGAGAUCUCAGAUGGGUGUUCAUAAGUAUCAAAGUGGGGAGUGGCACAUACUAUUUGGAACAAAAAUAUGAGACUAUUUCUCGCCGUCGAGUGAAUCUGGACUUCUUGCACUGAUGAUGUUCCUCAUAUUUGCAAUGCGGCUGCUCGGUGCUUC
rnacentral:lncRNA from 1 species